AAGUCGUAACAAGGUUGAAGUGGACAAAGUGUCUACCGAACGGAUCCUUUCCAAAUCGUACACUUAUCGAAGCCUUAGCGGAUCCAAAAGAUCGGAUCGCGACUCUAAACAAAGAACCCCCCGUUUGUACGGACAAUCGGGCGCUAGUCGGUUGAAUACAACCGGCGACACUAUCGAAUUGCGGGGACACCCUAAAAGUUGAAGGUACGAACCCCUCCGUUAAAGUGGAGGGGGGGCCCGAGUUAAUCGCUCGGGGUAUCGUAAGAAUCCUUCGACAUGUCACAAUGGGCAAUCCGCAGCCAAGGGCCUAACACCUGUUCAUGAAGGUCAUGGUCAAGGUUCACAGACUAAGUGGUAGUGGGUAUGAUUGUUUUUUCAAUCAUGCUUAAGAUAUAGUCGGGCCCCUGGGGGAGACCUAGGGGGAUUAAACCGUUCCGUAGGUGAACCUGCGGAAGGAUCAUUAAAGAGUGAGGGUCCUCUGGGCCCAACCUCCCAUCCUAUGUUGUCAAAACACCAGUUGCCUCGGCGUCUUAAUCGACGCCAGAGGACAGUUCAAACACUUUCAUCAAACGUUUUGUCCGAGUAAAAAUUCUAAAUGAAUCGAAA
rnacentral:misc_RNA from 1 species